GAUGAACGCUGACAGCAUGCUUAACACAUGCAAGUCAACUGUGUCGGACGGGUGAGUAACGCGUAAAGAACUUUCCUCACAGCUAGGGACAACAUUUGGAAACGACUGCUAAUACCUAAUCCAGUGAGAGAGCUUUGCGUCCCAUUAUCUAGUUGGAGAGGUAACGGCUAACGAAGGCGAUGAUGGGUAGCCGGCCUGAGAGGGUGCUCGGCCACAAGGGGACGGAGAGACGGUCCAUACUGCUACGGGCGGUAGCAGUGUGGAAUAUUGGCCAAGGGACCAAAGGCUUAUACAGCAAUUGGGUGUGCGGGAUGAAGUUUUCGGUAUGUAAAGUGCUUUUAGUUGGGAAGCGGUACCAACAGAAGAAGUGACGGCUAAAUACGUGCCAGCCGCCGCGGUAAUUC
rnacentral:rRNA from 1 species